CUUGAGUGGCCAGCUGCUCUGAGCCCUUGCCCUGGUUUCCGGCCCUCUCUAGCUGACCUCUGAGACUCAGAUGGAGAGACUGAGCCCUGAGGUGCCCAGACCCCUCGAGUCCCCAGCUGCACAUGAAGAGAUGGAUUCAGACAGAGACUCCCCCUUUCCCCCCAGCGAGGGUGAGUUUUGCAUCUUUAGGAACAAGCCUCAUGCCCCAGGGCUGGCCCCCACCAAGGCUGGCCCGUCUAGGCUUCAGCUACACCAUCUGCAAAAUAGACAGUUGUGAAACGCUAAAGGAGGGCCCGGCUCCUGGCAGGGUGAGUGACUUGCAGCCCAAGGAAGGCUGAGCUUCUCUCCAUGUGGCCACGAGACCCUAAUGCCUCCAGAGGGCAUCUAAGGAGAAUGCUGAAGGAUAAGUAGGAGUUUGCAAGGAGAAAAUCUUAGUUUACAAACACAUUUGUGGUUUCUCAUUCACCAAUAAGAUCAAUUUUCAUCCGUUCAUCCAUUCAUCCAGAACUUUCUAAUGCCUCCAGGGAUCGUUUAAGGAUGUUUUAAAUAAUACCCAAAAGGAUGCGCCUGGGUGGCUCAGUCGUUAACCAUCUGCCUUCGACUCAGGUCGUGAUCCCAGAGUCCUGGGAUCGAGCCCAGCAUUGAGCCCCCCACCAAGCCCUCCAUCAAGCCCCCCAUCAGCUUCUCUGCUCAGCAAAGAACCUGCUUCUCCC